ACGGGUGAGUAAUACAUCGGAACGUGCCCAAUCGUGGGGGAUAACGCAGCGAAAGCUGUGCUAAUACCGCAUACGAUCUACGGAUGAAAGCAGGGGAUCGCAAGACCUUGCGCGAAUGGAGCGGCCGAUGGCAGAUUAGAUAGUUGGUGAGGUAAAGGCUCACCAAGCCUUCGAUCUGUAGCUGGUCUGAGAGGACGACCAGCCACACUGGGACUGAGACACGGCCCAGACUCCUACGGGAGGCAGCAGUGGGGAAUUUUGGACAAUGGGCGAAAGCCUGAUCCAGCCAUGCCGCGUGCAGGAUGAAGGCCUUCGGGUUGUAAACUGCUUUUGUACGGAACGAAACGGUCUUUUCUAAUAAAGAAGGCUAAUGACGGUACCGUAAGAAUAGGCACCGGCUAACUACGUGCCAGCAGCCGCGGUAAUACGUAGGGUGCAAGCGUUAAUCGGAAUUACUGGGCGUAAAGCGUGCGCAGGCGGAGAUGUAAGACAGUUGUGAAAUCCCCGGGCUCAACCUGGGAACUGCAUCUGUGACUGCAUCGCUGGAGUACGGCAGAGGGGGAUGGAAUUCCGCGUGUAGCA
rnacentral:rRNA from 1 species